rnacentral:rRNA from 1 species
GACAAACGCUGGCGGCGUGCUUAAUACAUGCAAGUCGAGCGGACUCCAACCACUCGCAAGAGUGGGGAAGAGUUAGCGGCGAACGGGUGAGUAACACGUGAGGAACCUGCCCUGGAGACCGGGAUAACUCCCCGAAAGGGGUGGCUAAUACCGGAUGUCCUCAUCGGACCGCAUGAUCUGAUGAGGAAAUAGGAUUCCGCUCCAGGAGGGUCUCGCGGCCUAUCAGCUUGNGGUGAGGUAACGGCUCACCAAGGCGUCGACGGGUAGCUGGUCUGAGAGGACGAUCAGCCACACUGGGACUGAGACACGGCCCAGACUCCUACGGGAGGCAGCAGUAGGGAAUCUUGCGCAAUGGGCGAAAGCCU